AUCAGUACCGUGAGGGAAAGUUGCAAAGAACUUUGAAGAGAGAGUUCAAGAGGGCGUGAAACCGCUGAGAAGGAAACGGAUAGAGUUGACGAAACACAGCGGCAUUCAUCCGACCUGUCCUGGCAACUGGCUGCCCGGUAUAGAUCGUUCUCCUCGGGGAAUGACGGUCUGGCUGUCAGCUUAGUCGGCUGGUUGGUGCUUUUGCCGUUGGUAUGCGCGGAGACGUUCGCUGUGGCGUGUCGACGUCGAUGUCAGAGGACCAGUGCCAAAUGGUACUGGAAACCUGACUCGGCUUAGGUAUGUUCGCGGUGAAACGGUAACCACAUACGCCGCUUGCUAGUUGCGUAGCUGCCUCUGCAUAGUUGGGUGCGUUGUUGGGCGAUCGCGUGCGAUUUGUCUACAGCUGUAUUCCGGCUUGUUUCUGGCUAGUUACGUUGGCGGUGUAUCUCCGUGUAAAAGUCAGCCACCUAUCCGACCCGUCUUGAAACACGGACCAAGGAGUUUAGCAUAUGCGCAAGUCAUUGGGUGGUAAACCUAAAGGCGUAAUGAAAGUAAAGACUGCUUCGAGCGGUUGAUAUGGGAUCUGUGCUUGCUUGCAGGCGCAGCGCACCAUAGCCCCGUUCUUGUUGCUUGCAAUAGGGCGGAGGUAGAGCGUAUACGCUGAGACCCGAAAGAUGGUGAACUAUGCCUGAGCAGGAUGAAGCCAGAGGAAACUCUGGUGGAAGUCCGAAGCGGUUCUGACGUGCAAAUCGAUCGUCUGACUUGGGUAUAGGGCGAAAG
rnacentral:rRNA from 1 species